CAUUAAGAAGCUAUGCACCAGCGCUAGCCUUUUAAGCUAGAAAAAGAGGGACUUCCCUCCUUAAUGA
rnacentral:tRNA from 1 species